CUAGGUGGCCCAAGAGCCAGGAAAUUGGAUAGGAGGUUGGGUAUUUUCAGAUCAAUGUCAGUAGACAUCUAAGUGGCUGAAGGGAGUUUAAGGUGGUAGAGGAGGCAGCUUUCAGGUAGGUAACCUCGAUUUAGGGCCCAACAAAGUCACGAGGCUAAUAGUUUGGCUGAGCUGGGAGGGGUUGAGUGAUAGGUAAGGACAGAGUUUCUUCUUGUUGGUCAACACUGGGAGGGGGAAAGAGAGAGAGAGAGGAGAGGGAGAGCAGCUGGGCAUGCAAGAGAAAGAGAAAAGAGAGAGUGAUUCGAAAAUAUCAUAAAAUCAAGACAAUAAUUAAGUCACUUUUUGGUGUUCUCUUUUUUAGUCUAAAUUAUCUCCAGUGUCUUUUAACCUUUGUUCAAGGAAUCUAGCUUCUUCUUAAUCAUUUUUGUCACUCUUCUCUGCAUUCUCUCCAGGUUUCCCCGUAAGUUCAGAAGUGUUAUCUCAUUUCUUUCCACAGCAUACCCAUGAGGUAACUAGGGUCAUUGCUAAGCUCGCAUGUACAGAUUGGAUGAAAGUAAGGCACAUGAUUUUGAGAGGAAGGAAAAUCUGAUCUUGUCACAGCUCUGCCUAAAAUUCUUCAAAGAGGAGAAGAGGAAAAGAGUUGCUGCCCUGUGUCAGGUCAUGGUCUACAAGAUGGGUCACCAUAACUGAGUGACAGCUGGGGAAGGAUGUCGUGGUGCAGUGAGAGGAGAAUAGGAGGGUUCAUUCAAAGGCUCACAAUGGUGAAGUUGCACCAGGAUAUUGCAGUGAACCAUGAAGGCUGGUGGGGCAGAGGAGCUCCGAUUAUAUCCUGAGAAGAGACAACAUUGUGGAAACAUGUCCAUAUGCCUACUUGGAAGGAAGCAAUGGUCACUUAGUAUGGUAUGGCUCUUGGUAUCUUUUUGAGAGAAUUAUUACAUAUUCAAAAUGAAUAAUGAAUUUUUUAAGGGAAUAGAAUUAGGAAACAUUACAAAUCUCAGCCGCAUAAAUUGUAAAUAAACAAAGAUCCCAAUGUCAAAUUUCGGAAGCCCACAUUGUGUGAACGCAACGAUACAUUUUCAAACAAUCCUGCAAUAAACAAUAGCAUUUAACUCACCGGGGAUCGAAUGUUAAGUUGUCCCCUUCACUUGGUGACAAAUGUGAUUCCUGAGUGUGUGUGGGGCCAUGUUGCAUUUAC
rnacentral:lncRNA from 1 species